AGCAGCAGUGGCGAAUAUUGGACAAUGGGCGCAAGCCUGAUCCAGCCAUGCCGCGUGUGUGAAGAAGGCCUUCGGGUUGUAAAGCUCUUUUAUCAGGAAAGAAAUCGUGUCGGUUAAUACCCGGCGUGGAUGACGGUACCUGACGAAUAAGCACCGGCUAACUUCGUGCCAGCAGCCGCGGUAAUACGUAGGGUGCGAGCGUUAAUCGGAAUUACUGGGCGUAAAGGGUGCGUAGGCGGCCUGGUAAGUCAGAUGUGAAAGCCCUGGGCUCAACCUGGGAAUGGCAUUUGAGACUGGGAGGCUGGAGUGCGGUAGAGGGUGGUGGAAUUCCUGGUGUAGCGGUGAAAUGCGUAGAUAUCGGGAGGAACAUCCAUGGCGAAGGCAGCCACCUGGACCAGCACUGACGCUGAGGCACGAAAGCGUGGGGAGCAAACA
rnacentral:rRNA from 1 species